AAGAUGGAGGAAAGCCAGGGAGCAGCUCUUGCAAAACCCUUCUGAGGGGAAAGGAAGGAUGUGUGAGGGAAAACACUGCUCUGGCUGCCAGUCGUUCUUGCCAGAACAGCUCAGCUGCUGGUGAGAGUGUGCUGGAUUGGGGGUGCCAGCCUGUGCCCCAAUGUUGAGUGUAGGGGAACUCAGAUGAAGUUAUAUAACCUGCCCUGGGGGCUCCUGCACAGAUAAGCUGGCAGAGGCCACUGGUGGUUCCUGACAAUUUCUGGAAUGAUUUUGUGAUACUCUCUGAGCCAACUGGACAUCCUGGGUUUUGUUGCAAAACUGACUGGGAAUUUUGGAUUCUCUUGAACAGAGCCUUGACCGGAGGAGACACAAAAGAAGUAGAGAGCGACCUUUGCUUUCAAGGAGAUUAUGAUUCAAUUUUGAAAGAGAAUGCAAAAUUGCCCAAACCUCCAUAAAUCAAGUGGGAGGAGGACUCCGUCUUAGAGGUGUUGAUCGGAUCAUCAUAGCUGGCCUGCACUCUGGAGUGAAGAUGGCCAGUGUUGGGCACAAUUAAUUCAUCCAUAGAAGGAAGAAGACAUUGAGGAAAAUAUCUCAAUGAAGUAAUGGAUUUAGAUGGUGUCAGGAACAUCUAAACAACACAGCACUUGCUUCUACAUCAAACGUGACAUUUGGCAUUGAGGCAGUCAAGAUAAGAUAUGCUCAGCAAGUCUGUGAAUGCCGAAUGCUGGGGAGCCCUGGAUUCCUGCAGAGUCAUUGAGAGGUUCGCCUUCACUGGCCUCUGUCUCCCAUGCAGGGACAAUUGUAUGAAAGCCCUUUCUCACCUCCAUCCGCCUCCAUGUGACCUUAUCCUUGGGCUGUUUCCUGUCUGCCCCACUGGUGACUGCUGGUCAGACUUUCUUAGGACGAAGCUUCCAGAGCUUUAUCUACUUCCUCUCCCGGCUGAUCAGGAGGUCUUAUUUGUGCAGCGAGUCUCCCUGAGCCUGAGACACAAGUUCUGAUAGACAACGCUGCCUUAUGAAGCGCCCAAGAUUGAUCAUGUGGUACUGGCCUUUUAAAAUCCUAGACACAAAAACCUCGGUACAAACAGGAAACAAAACAUCCCAAGAAGUAGCACAAAAGAAGAAGCCUACUGUUUCUUCCCCAAAUGGAUUACUAUUAAAUUAAUAUGGAACAUUCUCUGAAGGUGCCAGAAAGGCCUUGGAGAGGAAUGAGCAUUAUAAUACUACCAGGAGAAUUGCAGCUCUUAAAAAUGGUCAUGGCCGCUCAAAGCCAUCUUGCUCCAUCUGGAGAGAGUCUAUGAAAGUCAUCAACUGCCACGUGGAAGCUUAAUAAGGAAGGGACACUGCUGAGUCCUACAUACAGAAAUUGGUAAGAUAGACCUGAGCUUUUGCUGGGAAGAGAGAGAGUGAGAAGAACUUUUCGCUGAAGAGACUUUCAAGGUGGAAGAUGUCCAAGUUGCUUUGUCUACAUGACGGUGGCCAGGAGAGUAAGAGGAGGCGGUGGGUAUAAUUCCGUGUUUGUGACUCUUCAUCAACAGCUGCUCUGUGAAUCGCCUUCCCUUAAGGUUUUAAUUUCUUGUCAAUGUUUUCUUCUCAGCACCUCUCAAACCAUUCCCUUCUUUGGUGCUUUGUGUUUUUAACUUUUCCGUUGUUGUCGUUGCCUCCUGCUAACUUUCCCAGUGCAAGUAUUCUAAUUACUUUGAAACAACCCUAAGUAAGGCAUUUGAGGAACCAAUUGAGUUUUUUUGUCUCCUCAGCUCUUUUUCCUCCGGCUCAUGUCCAGCGCAAUUGUUUCCCCAUUGCAUUAUUUUAUUUGAAGUGGCCUAUAUUCAUGAUACUACGGAUUUAAGAUAACACAAAUAAUUCGUAAGUUAGUAUGACGAAGUAAUGACUUUUACUCUCAGUUGGUUCUGCUCCUGUUUCUCAUCCAUUCUUUCUGCUUUGGCUUUUUCUUUCAGUGUCUUUAAUCAUUAUCUCAUUGCAUCUUCAUAUAAAUUAUCUUGUUUUAUUUUCACAUCUACCACUUAGAGAGGUAGUGAGGUGCGGUGGAGAAUUCAAGUUACGUGCUAUGUGCUUUACGUAUGGGUUUUCAUUUAGUCUUUACAAUAACUGUUUCAGGUAGGUAUUCUUAUUCCUUUUUCGCAGGUGAGGAAACCGAGCCCAAGAAGGUUUAGGAACUCUCCCAGUCUCACAUAGUUGAUCGGUGAUGGAGCCAGGGUAUAAAACUCAAAGCUUGUGAUUUAAUUACCAUACUCUAUUAUCUCGCUGUGUAACCACUAUUUAUGGGGUCCUUACUAAGCACCAGGCAACUUUAGAUGCCUUCUCUUGUAAGUGAUCUAGCAGCUCUAUAAGGACUUAAAUAGCUACAUAACUUACUAGCUGUGCGACUGCCAGUUAACGUGCCUGAGCCAUACUUACUUCAUCUCUCACAUAACACUAAUAGUACUUUUCGAUCUCUGCCCCACAAUUACUGUGAAGAAUUUAUGAGAGAAGGAAUAUGAAAAUAAUCUUUAAACCAGGAAGCACGAUGUAAUGGUAUACAUUGUAAGCGUGGAAACGUUAUUACUCCAUUAAUUAGAUAAUUUUCCAGAUGAGAAAUCUUAGGAAAAGAGAGGUAGAUGUAACUUCAGCCACAAGUGUCCCCUGUGUGUCAGGCACUGUCCUUAGCACCUGGUGGAGUGGUCUGCCCAAGGUCUCCUGGUUCAUUAGGGGCACAUCUGGAAUUAGAGUUGGGCGCGUUCCCUCGAGAUGGAGUGAAGAGUGCUUUCUAAGACAUUCCUUGUCCCAGAGGUGAGGUACUAAGCUGAAGAUGGUGAUACCCAAAGUUGCUGCUGAAUUUAAGAAUGGAAUUUAUUUCAUGCGAACUUUCCCUCCUGGAGUUUUAUACCAGUCUGGUUGCCUUUUGCCGGGCAUUGCCCUAGUCCUGCAGUAUUGUAUGAUUUUCCAGUGUAGUAGAUGAUAUCCAGAUUUCUUUAGCCUCUUUUAGAAAUUUCUUGCUAUAAAGUGCUGGAUCUGGAGCUUUUUAAUAUUCAAUCAUUGAUUUACUUUUUAAACAAAUGGAAAUGGAAGCAAGAUGUUUGGUUUGAGAACCUUCAUGGUUUGCCCAUGCCGAUUUUGCAGGUGCCCAAGUGCCACAUAUGUUUUCUUGGGGACACAGAGUCACAGAAAGCAAGGCUCAGGUCGCCACUUGUGUUUUUUAUCUGCUGGUAUGUACUCUAUGGGGAGAUAGAUGGUCUUCUGUCCUCUCUCCCAAAUAAUGAGACAGGAUACCCAGGGCACGAGUCAGCGACAAGGGCUCUCUGGAUUAUCUUCCCUCUUGCCGCUGGCUCUCACUGGACCCUCAGAGGGGGAGGAUCAUUAUCCUUCGCCGGACUGGAUGAUGUUUGGAAGAAUGUGGCUGCAGUAAGGAUAUAUUUGAGAUAAUGAGGAAGAGACUUAUACCAGGGAAACAAGGCUUUUCGUAGCGGGCCUCUGAGGCUCGGGCAAACAAACUCAAGGCUGAGCUAUUCGCAGCCAAUUUUUUAAAGUGAUAUUCAGGUAACAAUUUGAGCGAAUAGAAAAAUUAUUUUAGCAAAAAAUCUCAAAACAAAUCAAUGCAUAGACUAGAGAUGAGUAAUUUCAUGGGUUAGCGCAAAGCUAUUAACCAAUAACACGAAAGCAAAUUCCUAUUAUUAAAGAAUUCUAUUGCGAAGUUACAGAAAAUUCAUGACUUUCCUAGAAGGAAAAUGAGCACUUGUUUUAUUUACAUUAAAAAAAGUCAUGUUUAAGAUUCCUUACAAGUGGUAUGUGUGUUUAUGUAUGUGUAUGUAUUUAAUUAAACAAAUUAAUUAAAUUAAUUAAACAAAGUUUAACUUAAAUGUAUAUUUAAUUAAAAACAUGUAUUUAAUUAAAUACAUGCUUAAUUAAAUGUGGUUUAAUUUGUUUAUUCAUCUCAAAUUAUAGAGCAGUCUGUAGUUUAGAUGGGACAUGGUUUCUAUCAGUCUUGACCUGUUUUUCAGAUGUCUUAUUUUUUUGAAUGGGUAAGAGAAGAAGAGAUGGCAAUAAUAAUAAUAAAAUUAAUGAUAAUAGUAAUAAUAAUAACAUUUGUAUAGUGCUUUGCAGGGUUAAUCUCUUUUAAACUUCGAAACUCAGAGAGAGGGUUUUUGACCAGGGAGUCAGGCAGGCCAGGCAUUAUUAUCGUUAUUUUUUAUGAUUGAAUAUUUUUUUUAUCAUAGUCAUGUUAAAAAACUUAAAGUCAAAUAUUUUUGAAUUAAUAAAGCAAGUAGGAUUUUACUUACAAAACAUAACAGGUUUCUGGUAAAACACUGCCCUAGUUGGCAACACAUAUUAUGUGAGAAAGGCACGUGACACAGCUGUGUAUAAAGACUAGUGCGAGGUGGUUGCUUAGAAAACCCCAUUCUCUUCCUUCCCUGGGCAUGGCUGUGUCGUUAGUGCCUGGCGCUCUGCUAGGUCAUCUGGAGGAAACACAGUGUGUUUAGGACGUGCUGCAUGCCCUCAUGCUGUCUGUGAUCUGACUGGAAAGAAAGAGCAUGGCCAUCUCUGAAGCAGGAACUGUGGCUAGAGCUGCCCGGGUCAUGCACCCACCCUGGAGUUGUGGCGCAGGUAAGCCCACCCCAGCCACAUACACCGAGAGGGUGAAGGGCAGUUCCCCAAAGUAAAGUCAAACUAUCGUUUCCAGGUAAAAAGUGAAUGGAUUAUGGGCAACAGAUGUCCAUCCCAGGUGCUUCUUCUGAUGUCCCUAGAGUUAAAAAGUCCCAGGUGUUCCCACUCUCCAAAGCCCUCCCUGUUUCUCUCAACUCUCCUCUCUCCCAGUGCAAUUCUGUCAUUUCUAGUUGCAAAACGGAAUGCGUUUCCCCCAUAGAAACAGGGUUAUAAAUGCUGGUUAAGCGUAGUUAAUAUGGUACCAUUUUUAGUGUAUAGUUCAAAUACAUUAACUUUAAAGAGCCUUUUGUGGGUAGUUUUGAGGAUUUAACCAUAAUUUAUAAUACAGUGUCUAUGUGAAAAUAUGUGCUGAGAAACCGAACACUCAAACCAACAGACAAACUCUUGGAACGUAAGCUGGGCUUGUAGGAGUAUGAUUGAUGCUAAAUUGCGCAAUAGAACCUGGAAGGGCUGAGACUGCUCAGAGAAAGGGGAGUUCCGUUGGAGCUCUGUGGGCCUGGGGAAGGGGUGGGUACAUGAUGCUAUCAGUCCAUCAGCCUCUUGAUAGCAUCAAAAUCUGACUCAUGUUUCCCACAUAGCAUCCUGUGGAUAUAAGGGUGACCUGAGUCUCACGUCUCAGGGCCGCUGAUCUGGUGCUGACCAGAUAGCACUUCUUUCCUCUCCCGUUACCCCAACUAUGUCCCACCUGAAACUACAUCUUUACUUGAAAACGAGAGGAGGAAUAUAUUUUGAUUAAGAGGUCUUUUCUAUUUGUUUCAAACAUUUUAAAUACAAAAAUAUAAGAAAAUGUAAAAUGUUUUACAUAGAAUAUAAGAGUGAAAAUUCCCCCACCUUUACCCCAGUGCUGCCCCCCCGCAGUGAAGUAUUCACUGCUUCGUAUAUUUCAGGGCUCAUUUUAUAAAAUGAAUUUCUUAAUGUGAAAAUAAGUUACAUCUCCUAGUUUUAUCAACAUCAGGCAAUGUGGGCAGGAAAAGUGUCUAUAAUGGUUCAGGACUUUUCUGUUCCAGCCCAGUGGUUUAUUACAGUUUGAAUGGGAGUAGGCAUGGAUGUUGGGGAGACGGAGGGAGAAUUGAAAGAUGAGUAGAGUAAGUGUAGUUUGAGAGGUUCUACACGUCUAAUACGGUAUCUCCUCCUGCUUUGAAAAUCAUUGCUUCCUAUUUCAAAGUAGGCCAUACCUGACCUCUCCAUGGUUUACGGCACGUGUUCUUUAACUGAUGGCCUGUUUUUAAACAAUAUCACACCACUUAUUUAAGAAUGCUUUCAUUUUCUAAGUGUUUCACUAUUGCUUUCAUAAUUUUUCUUCUAUGUGUAUUAAACCCACGAUACGUUUUUUACUUUAGUUAUUUAUCUUUUGAUGGAACUAAAAAAAUUAAUAAGUAUUUUAUAUUUACCCACAUAUACACCAUUUCCUGCAGUCUUCAUUCUUUUUUUUAUGAUCCAAAUUUCCGUUUCAAAUUGAGGAGGUGACUGAAUGAAGCCUUGGUGAGUCUCGUGCACGGCAGGUGUUUGCAGAGAAGCAACCACAAGUUCCGGAUCCCCAGGCGGGAGUUGGUACAGAAGCACCGAGAGAAGUGGUGGACUGGGGGAGGCCUGUAGCCUAGACUGGAAAGCCAUGCACCACAGGACAUUCAGAUGGAGGUUGCGGUGGUGACCUGGACUGUAGUCAUGGUGACUGUCUGUUGAUGUGAUCAGGGGGUGGGGACUUUGAGCCACAUAUCAGUCUAACUUCUCACCCUCUGGGUUGGGUAGAGGGGGCUGGAUAUCGAGUUGACUCUUAUGGCCCGUGGUUCAAUCAAUCAUGCCUACAUAAUAAAACCCCAAUAACAACUCUGGACACUGAAACUUGGCAGAACAUCCAGGUUGUUGAACUCAUUGAUUUGCUGGCGGGAUGACACUGAUUCUAUGGGGAAAGGGCUCAUGAGUUCUACAAUUGGGACCCUUCCAGACCUCACCUUAUGUGUCCCUUCAUUUGACCGGUCCUGAUUUGUACCUUUUAUAAUAAAACUGUAAUUGUAA
ensembl:lncRNA